rnacentral:tRNA from 1 species
UCCCUCAUAGUUCAGUUGGUAGAACGGCGGACUGUUAAUCCGUAUGUCACUGGUUCAAGUCCAGUUGGGGGAGCCA